rnacentral:lncRNA from 1 species
UGUUGGCAGAGCUGAGCUGAGAGCAACAAAGCCAAUGUGACCAUUUACAAGCUCUCUCUCUUUUUUGUUUUAGUAUAGGAGAUUGAACACAGGACCCUGCACUUUCAAGGCAGGUUGCAGCACUACUGAGCUAAAUCCCCGGCCCAAGCUCUCUUUCUCGCUCUCUCUCUUUUCAAAGGGUACCUUCCUCUGGACCUGGAAUGGAGACAUGGAGACCACUUUGAUAGCAGCAUGCAGCACAGCAGGAGCUUGGUUCUUGGAGGAGGAGAUUUAUUUUGGCUUCGGAUUUUCUUCGCUUGAGAGCAUGACAGGAGCUUCCUCCACUGUGCAACUCUGAAGCUUUCCUGGCCCCUCCUCCAGGAAGCACAACACACCCACUGCAGGGAGUGAGCAUGAGGUGGGGCCUGCGUGGAAUAGAAAGCUGUUACCUAGUGGAGGUGGCAGUUUGACUCACGCCACACCUUCCCCAAAGUGACAAGACUGGAGGAUCCCUCAGGCA